CCAGAGGAGACAUGGACCCUCAUUUUAGGAUAAAGUAUCUGUGGACCCUCGCCUGGGCACUUGUAGCUAGUGGAAGGUUUGUUUAUUUCUGUAGGUAAAUAUGGACCGUGCAUAAGCUCAUAUGGCAGGUUACUAAGGUUUGGCUUUUUUGCACCGCUAUAAUUUAAGCUCAAAGUUUUAUAUAUAAUAUAUAACAUGAUAGAGGGGCGGCCUUGGCCAAGUGCUAAGAUAGGUGGAUAGAGAUGUAAUUUUAUAAUCCCGGG
rnacentral:lncRNA from 1 species